rnacentral:rRNA from 1 species
GCUAAUCUGCGAUAAGCGCCGGUAAGGUGAUAUGAACCGUUAUAACCGGCGAUACCCGAAUGGGGAAACCCAGUGUGAUUCGUCACACUAUCAUUAACUGAAUCCAUAGGUUAAUGAGGCGAACCGGGGGAACUGAAACAUCUAAGUACCCCGAGGAAAAGAAAUCAACCGAGAUUCCCCCAGUAGCGGCGAGCGAACGGGGAGGAGCCCAGAGCCUGAAUCAGCAUGUGUGUUAGUGGAAGCGUCUGGAAAGGCGCGCGAUACAGGGUGACAGCCCCGUACACAAAAGCGCAUGUGCUGUGAGCUCGAUGAGUAGGGCGGGACACGUGGUAUCCUGUCUGAAUAUGGGGGGACCAUCCUCCAAGGCUAAAUACUCCUGACUGACCGAUAGUGAACCAGUACCGUGAGGGAAAGGCGAAAAGAACCCCGGCGAGGGGAGUGAAAAAGAACCUGAAACCGUGUACGUACAAGCAGUGGGAGCCCCACCACUAAGCCAGUGGUGAACUCCACAUCCGCAUCCUUUGCUGAGGAUACGGUUAACGGAGCGAAAGCGACGUUCAACCGCAAAACAAGCAGAGGGGGCUUAGUGGUGGGGUGACUGCGUACCUUUUGUAUAAUGGGUCAGCGACUUAUAUUCUGUAGCAAGGUUAACCGAAUAGGGGAGCCGGAGGGAAACCGAGUCUUAAUUGGGCGUUAAGUUGCAGGGUAUAGACCCGAAACCCGGUGAUCUAGCCAUGGGCAGGUUGAAGGUUGGGUAACACUAACUGGAGGACCGAACCGACUAAUGUUGAAAAAUUAGCGGAUGACCUGUGGCUGGGGGUGAAAGGCCAAUCAAACCGGGAGAUAGCUGGUUCUCCCCGAAAGCUAUUUAGGUAGCGCCUCGUGAAUUCAUCUCCGGGGGUAGAGCACUGUUUCGGCUAGGGGGCCAUCCCGGCUUACCAACCCGAUGCAAACUGCGAAUACCGGAGAAUGUUAUCACGGGAGACACACGGCGGGUGCUAACGUCCGUCGUGAAGAGGGAAACAACCCAGACCGCCAGCUAAGGUCCCAAAGUCAUGGUUAAGUGGGAAACGAUGUGGGAAGGCCCAGACAGCCAGGAUGUUGGCUUAGAAGCAGCCAUCAUUUAAAGAAAGCGUAAUAGCUCACUGGUCGAGUCGGCCUGCGCGGAAGAUGUAACGGGGCUAAACCAUGCACCGAAGCUGCGGCAGCGAACGUAUCACCCAAGACAACUUUACGGAGUUGACGAUUGACGGAGCGAAGCGACGUCAAAGCGUUCAUUAAAGUCGAGUUGGCUUAGGGAUACGUUCGUUGGGUAGGGGAGCGUUCUGUAAGCCUGUGAAGGUGUGUCGUGAGGCAUGCUGGAGGUAUCAGAAGUGCGAAUGCUGACAUAAGUAACGAUAAAGCGGGUGAAAAGCCCGCUCGCCGGAAGACCAAGGGUUCCUGUCCAACGUUAAUCGGGGCAGGGUGAGUCGACCCCUAAGGCGAGGCCGAAAGGCGUAGUCGAUGGGAAACGGGUUAAUAUUCCCGUACUUGGUGUUACUGCGAAGGGGGGACGGAGAAGGCUAUGUUGGCCGGGCGACGGUUGUCCCGGUUUAAGCGUGUAGGUGUGUGUUCCAGGUAAAUCCGGUUCACUUUAACACUGAGGCGUGACGACGAGGCACUACGGUGCUGAAGCAACAAAUGCCCUGCUUCCAGGAAAA